rnacentral:tRNA from 1 species
GUGUUGGUGGUUCAGUGUAGAAUUCUCACCUUCCAUGCGGGAGACCAGGGUUCAAUUCCAUGCCAAUACA